GGAUUCUUGUUAGAAUGAAGAUUCUGGGACAGUAGACCUCAGAUUCUGCAUUUCUAACAAGUUCUCAGGCAAUGCCAA
rnacentral:miRNA from 10 species